rnacentral:rRNA from 1 species
UACGUAGGGUGCAAGCGUUGUCCGGAAUUAUUGGGCGUAAAGAGCGUGUAGGCGGCUUGACAGGUCUGCUGUGAAAACUCGAGGCUCAACCUCGAGAUGUCGGCGGAAACCGUCUGGCUAGAGUCCGGAAGAGGAGAGUGGAAUUCCUGGUGUAGCGGUGAAAUGCGCAGAUAUCAGGAAGAACACCUAUGGCGAAGGCAGCUCUCUGGGACUGUACUGACACUGAGACACGAAAGCGUGGGGAUCAAACAGG